rnacentral:rRNA from 1 species
AUUGAACGCUUGCGGCAGGCCUAACACAUGCAAGUCGAGCGAGCGGCGUACGGGUGAGUAAUGUAUGGGGACUGCCCGAUAGAGGGGGAUAACUACUGGAAACGGUAGCUAAUACCGCAUACUAUCGGAUAACCCAUAUGGGAUUAGCUAGUAGGUGAGGUAAUGGCUCACCUAGGCGACGCUCCCUAGCUGGUCUGAGAGUAUGAUCAGACACACUGGGACUGAGACACGGCCCAGACUCGUACGGAGGCAGAAGUGGGGAAUAUGGCAAAAGGGGCGCAAGCCUGAUGCAGCCAUGCCGCGUGUAUGAAGAAGGCCCUAGGGUUGUAAAGUACUUUCAGUCGGGAGGCGUUACCGACAGAAGAAGCACCGGCUAACUCCGUGCCAGCAGCCGCGGUAAUUC